rnacentral:rRNA from 1 species
GAUGAACGCUAGCGGCAGGCCUAAUACAUGCAAGUCGAACGGUGUAGCAAUACACAGUGGCGCACGGGUGCGUAACACGUAUGCAACCUACCUUACAUUGGGGGAUAGCCUUUCGAAAGGGAGAUUAAUACCGCAUAAGACAGUAACUAGGCAUCUAGUAGCUGUUAAGGAUUUAUCGAUGUAAGCUGGGCAUGCGUCCAAUUAGGUAGUUGGCGAGGUAAUGGCUCACCAAGACGAUGAUUGGUAGGGGAACUGAGAGGUCAAUCCCCCACACUGGCACUGAGAUGCGGGCCAGACUCCUACGGGAGGCAGCAGUAGGGAAUAUUGGGCAAUGGGCGCAAGCCUGACCCAGCCAUGCCGCGUGCAGGAAGAAGGCGUUAUGCGUUGUAAACUGCUUUUAUACAGGAAGAAACGACCCUUGCGAGGGGCAUUGACGGUACUGUAUGAAUAAGCACCGGCUAACUCCGUGCCAGCAGCCGCCGUAAGAC